rnacentral:rRNA from 1 species
UACGGAGGGGACUAGCGUUGUUCGGAAUUACUGGGCGUAAAGCGCACGUAGGCGGCUUUGUAAGUCAGGGGUGAAAUCCCGGGGCUCAACCUCGGAACUGCCUUUGAUACUGCAAAUCUCGAGUCCGGAAGAGGUGAGUGGAAUUCCUGGUGUAGAGGUGAAAUUCGUAGAUAUUAGGAAGAACACCAGUGGCGAAGGCGGCUCACUGGUCCGGUACUGACGCUGAGGUGCGAAAGCGUGGGGAGCAAACAGG